AUUGAACGCUGGCGGCAUGCCUUACACAUGCAAGUCGAACGCGAAAGAGGGGCAACCCUUGAGUAGAGUGGCGAACGGGUGAGUAACGCAUCGGAACGUAUCCAGUAGUGGGGGAUAACCCAUCGAAAGAUGGGCUAAUACCGCAUACGCCCCGAGGGGGAAAGUGGGGGAUCCGCGAGGACCUCACGUUAUUGGAGCGGCCGAUGUCCGAUUAGCUAGUUGGCGGGGUAAGAGCCCACCAAGGCGACGAUCGGUAGCUGGUCUGAGAGGAUGAUCAGCCACACUGGGACUGAGACACGGCCCAGACUCCUACGGGAGGCAGCAGUGGGGAAUUUUGGACAAUGGGGGCAACCCUGAUCCAGCCAUGCCGCGUGAGUGAAGAAGGCCUUCGGGUUGUAAAGCUCUUUCGGCCGGAACGAAAUCGCAUCUCUUAACACGGGGUGUGGAUGACGGUAACCGGAGAAGAAGCCCCGGCUAACUUCGUGCCAGCAGCCGCAGUAAAAC
rnacentral:rRNA from 1 species